rnacentral:rRNA from 1 species
UACGGAGGAUGCAAGCGUUAUCCGGAAUUAUUGGGCGUAAAGCGUCCGUAGGUGGUUUAUCAAGUCUGCUGUCAAAGCGUGCGGCUUAACCGCAUAAGGGCAGUGGAAACUGAUGAACUAGAGUGCGAUAGGGGUAACAGGAAUUCCCAGUGUAGCGGUGAAAUGCGUAGAUAUUGGGAAGAACACCAGCGGCGAAAGCGUGUUACUGGGUCUGCACUGACACUGAGGGACGAAAGCUAGGGGAGCGAAAGGGAUUAGAUACCCCUGUAGUCCUAGCCGUAAACGAUGACAACUAGGCGUGGUUCGUAUCGACCCAAGCCGUGCCGUAGCCAACGCGUUAAGUUGUCCGCCUGGGGAGUACGCACGCAAGUGUGAA